GACGACACACGUCGCACUGAAAGUAGGGUUUGUCAGCCUGCCUUCGGUUCCGACUGUGCUGCACUUAGCUGGAGGCCGGUUUUGUAGCUAUGUGAAUAAUUGCUAGCGCUGUAAGACCCCCCGAUGCGGGGCCUCUGCUCAAGUCCUGGGAUGAGCUGGCCAACACCCCAACAUCUCGAGAGAAAAGAUGCACCUGAUGCAAACUGCAAGAGGUUUUAUUAUCAGCUAGCUGAGGAGAAGUCCCUCCGUCGUGCAGGGAAGAGGAGUUCAACCCCGAGCGGUGACAGUAGGGGACUUUUAACAGCUAGCAGAGGAGAGUGACCCAGUCUCUGUCUCCUAUCAUGAGAGCAAAUGAAGAAUUCAACUGAACUUGGCCACAAACUCAAAUUCAGUGCAGAUGACAGUACCAGCUGUGGGAACACUGUCAUUGGCAUGGUGCCAGCUAUCAUAAAAGGCAGCACGGAUGAGGGCUUCCCCUGGUAUAACGUGUUUCACUUGAUUAAGUUAUUUUUAACUCUGUGUUGAUUCUUUGUGAGUUUCACAUCCUGCACCAAAUGCACAUCAUCUCAACCUCCCCCGCUCUGAAAUUUAAACACAUACAAACAGACCAGCUAACCAACCAACCAACCAACUAACCAACCAGCUAACCAACCAACCAACCAACCAACCAACCAACCAACCAACCAAAACAAAGUAUAGAAAAACAACUCAUUGUGCAAGCCGCAGAGUGUCACAGUGUGGCCAGCAGUAUACCAUUCUGACCACACAUCUUCACUUCCAAGUGUUGUUUGCAAUGAGCCAUUGGUUUGAGGUCUCUGGCUUCUGUGACCCAACCAAUAUUUGAUCCUCACAAGGAUUCCUCUUGGUUCUCCUGUAUUGAGCUGUGUCAUGGAGAUCCUGUAGUUUUAGAUCAUCAGGACUGUCCCUUUCACUUGGCCCAACAGUUAGCAAACGAUGUAGAUUUUGGGUGGGCCAACUCAAAGCCUUGGGUCUGGGCUUGGGUGGCAGCUGUUAGCCCACUGGCCUCUCCCUUAUCACACCAGCAC
rnacentral:lncRNA from 1 species